rnacentral:rRNA from 1 species
AUUGAACGCUGGCGGAAUGCUUUACACAUGCAAGUCGAACGGCAGCAUAGGUGCUUGCACCUGAUGGCGAGUGGCGAACGGGUGAGUAAUACAUCGGAACGUGCCCAGUCGUGGGGGAUAACGUAGCGAAAGUUACGCUAAUACCGCAUACGAUCUACGGAUGAAAGCGGGGGACCGUAAGGCCUCGCGCGAUUGGAGCGGCCGAUGUUAGAUUAGGUAGUUGGUGGGGUAAAGGCUCACCAAGCCGACGAUCUAUAGCUGGUCUGAGAGGAUGAUCAGCCACACUGGGACUGAGACACGGCCCAGACUCCUACGGGAGGCAGCAGUGGGGAAUUUUGGACAAUGGGCGCAAGCCUGAUCCAGCCAUUCCGCGUGCAGGACGAAGGCCUUCGGGUUGUAAACUGCUUUUGUACAGAACGAAAAGCUCUGAGUUAAUACCUCGGGGUCAUGACGGUACUGUAAGAAUAAGCACCGGCUAACUACGUACCG